ensembl:lncRNA
CAACCUAUCCUCGGACGCACUCAUCGCAAUGGCCAUCCGUCUGGAUAACCUUCUUCAGGAACGCCGGUGCCCACCUCACCAUUCGCCAUCCUCCUUUGGCUGUCCCGAAGCAAAGCCUGAACCCAGGAGUCCAGUAGAACACAAACAAACACCAGGGAGUGGGAGAGUGACCAAUCAGCUGCGUGAAUGUGGGAGUGACCAAGCAGUGGCCUCCCUUCCAGUUUGAGAGAGAGGCAGCCAGGUUGAGAGCCGGCCCUCUGUUAGCCGCAGCCUUCUCGCUAAUGAACUAAUCACCUGAGGGGAUUCUUCUCAGCAUCCUUAAACAACCAGGGAGUUAAACACACAUGCUUCAGAGCCAUCAAAAGCCGUGUUUGUGUGUGUGUGUGUGCACGUGCGUGACCCGCAGACAUGGCCAACGGAGGUGGUAGAGACAGUCACUGUGAUGAACAGGGGUUGAAGGAUGGAAGGAUAGGACUAGCGCACAGUGGGCCUGAUUGAGGUUUCCUGAUUGUUUAUCUUUGAAAUAAUAAAAGAGAACAAAAUUAUAUGGGACUGCAAUUUGUAAGGAAUACAUUGGGCCUGCUGCAAAUGAGCUGUGCCAGGGCACACUGACACUCCUUCCUAUUUUGUAUUUUUUGAUGUAUUUUUUCCAUUCUCUAUCCAUUCCUGUCAGACAGUUUUUGGAAACGGCAAGGUCUGUGACUAUCCUACUGGCCUUAAAACUGUCAUAUCCUCAUGGCAACCUGAGCUAAUCUUGGUACAUCCACAUUUGACAAAGAAAGAAAGAAGCAAGCAAGUAAGUCAUUGAUGUUAUUUACAUAGAAAAUCAAUGGAGCCUAGCUACCCUCCUGGUGAUUGCAUCUGGAUUGCAAAAAGCUGGCAAUAGAUCACAUUUGGACUGUUUUCUUCCUCUUUCCUCCCUCCUUCCUCUCUCCUUCCUACCUGCUCCCUGACAAUGCAAGGCACAGUCACAGAGGCAGCUGCAGUACUAACAUGACAAGUUCUUUAAAUUUCACACUUCGCUGCCUGCCAAAAGAUUCCUGGACCCAGAUUUUUGUAUCUGGGCUCCGGUCUCGCCUCUCAUCCCCGUUUGGAUGGAAACAUCUUGAAGUCACCAGCUAUGGGUCAUUUGGAGCUUUCAAACUAAUCAACACAACCAGAUCACAGGCAAUCUGCAAUCUCUAUUAUACUGGGAGAAUGCAUGGGGAAACCAUUUACAGGACAUUGCUGUAAAAAUAUUCAGAGGCUACGUUGGAUCCAGAGCCGGGUCAAAGGAUGACAGCCCCU